rnacentral:lncRNA from 1 species
AUCACAUCUUUGUGUUGUUGGAAGUUGCAAGAACUUUUCUGAUAGAUUUCAGCAGAACUAAGAAUUACUUGAUUCUAUUGUUGACUUGAUCUCUGCUUUUUGAAACUUUGGACCAGUCUGCGGGUGAGAUGAGUCUUCUGCUUAUUAACACAAGUAUGAAAAAUAGCUCAUGUUCAAGAUCACAGCAUGCAUAGGAGUCCAAACCAUCUUGAGAUAUUGGACAAAGGAAUUAGAGGUCAGCUGGGCAGAAAAAUGUCAGUGUCUUAUGUCUACGCUGGAUAGAAGAAGAAUUAAGAGACUUAUUGAUUCGAGGAAGAUUUAGACCAGUCACUGAGGAGGAACUAGCAGGAAGAGAUUUUCAAGGCAGGUCCUUGGGCUGUGUGUGGCAAUUGGGCACGUACCUGUUGGAAAUGCUUCAGGCAGAGUGACGUGGGUUGGCAUGUUACCUGAGCAGAGGACUCUAAACUGAGCACACUGUGCUGCUUUCGAGAGGGGCCAAAAGUCUGGAAGAAAGAUAAGCCUUGAGUUUACUUAAUACAUUCAAAUUAACUGGAAAAAAUGUUCCUAUUUAGUAACUGUAUUUGCACAAUGUCUUAAAAUGUAAACUCCUGUGAAACAUGCAUGAAAGGGUAUGAAGAAGUUAGACUAGCUACAUAUACUCAAGAAAAACACGUGUAAGUCCUGACUCUAUGAUGAUGUGCUCUUGUUAAACCUGAGCUGACUUACCAGAGGGACGUAUGAGAUGGAGCACUGUAUCCACAUUUCUGUGUGACAUAAUCAUGAGCUUUCCUUCUCUCUGGCAGAGCAACCUGUCUGUAGAGCCCCGGUACAGCAGGGUGCUGGCCUGAAACCAAUGUUCUGUGGGACUGGAGCCAGAAACAGGAUCAGGGUUGCAGGAAGAACCCUGAAAAGAAAGGCUCUUCUUUCAGAAAGUGGAGCUCCAUGAGCUGUCGGCAUCCCAGGGGCAGAGCAGAGGCAGAUUUUGGCUGUGAAGUUGACCCAGCCAAUGCCACGCAGGACAAGGUGGCAUUGAGAAGGUCCACAGCAGCAGCAUGUGUGCUGGAGGGGAACCACAAGCCGUGAAGGAUAGGGCAAAAGUGCCCGCUUCAUAAAUACACAUAAACAAACAAAACAGCUCACCAGCAGACAAAAUUCAGUGCUUCAGUGACCAUGGUUUCUCCUCUGCGAAGGCCCUCCUGUUGCCUUAGAAAAUUAUCAUCCCGUUUACUUAAUUAGGCUGACUCCAAGCUUUAGGCAUCGGCCUGCCAAGAUGAUGCACACAGCUCUUGUCUAUUUGCCCUCAGCAAGCUUGCCUGCCUUGCCCUCUUCUGUGCUCUGAAACCCAGAAAUUCCACACAGAUGGUAUUUUUUAAGGUGUUUCUAAUAGCAAUGAUUUGGAAGGGAAUGCUGAGCCUUCUUGAAAUAUGGAGGAGACAUUGACGAGACCACUGUGUUUUCUGUUUGCGUGUGAAUGACAGAUGCUAUUCACAUCAAACAGAGGAUGCAUAAAGUCAUGGUGAUUGUAAAGACGUGGUGGGCAUAUUUCUGCACUGCAAAACUCAGGAACACGGCCUGCCAGGUAGUUCAUCCCCACGUGCUGGAGGAGCCGUGCCCUUUGGUUGUUCAUCAUCAAUAGGACUGAAAGCCUCUUGGAAAAAAAAGAGAGUCAAUGACCUCUAUAGCAUCACGUCAAACUUCCAGACUGCUGAUCAUCACAGUGUCAGUCCUUCAUUUUAGAGAAGUUUCUCUUUUACAGUACUAGCGCGGGGUUCUGGUGGCAGCAUUUGGAGAAGGAAUGGUGAGCUAAAGUGUGAAAAGUGAAUGCAAAAGGCUGUGGAAAGAUGUAUCCACCUGGUUUUACUGAAGAAAACAAUACAGCUCCCCAAGUGCUGGUGAAGCCCUUUCGUUGCUUUUUGCGUGGUUCAGCUCCUGCUUCCCUCUGAUUUCGUUAGUGUUUGGCCGAAUCCCAAUUCCUUUUGAAGAUGAUUAAUUGCAGAACAGCUUAUCCUUAUUAGUGGUACUCAGACCCAACUGAAUUUACCAAAGAAGUAAUUACCAGGGUCUUGGUGAUGGGUUUCCUAUUGAAAACGCUUGGGUUGACUGCAGGAGGAGCUGGGAACCAGGGUUUCCCAUGGCUUUGGACAGCUGGGAAACACAUUUCAGCCACAAAAGCACUCAGGGACCUCUAGCCCUCGCAUCCACAUCCAAUGUCCUGUCCCCACCAUCACUGGCCCUGUGCCGAGGAUCACGUGGCACCGUGAUGGGAUCACACGUUUACCAAAGCCACUCUUGUCACCGUAUGGGAACACAAUGUUUCUCCCUGCCUCUAGAAGCUGAGAAUUGGAAGAGGUCAUGAACAUCAACAAAUAUUGUCCAGAUUUUCUUCAGGUCCCUUUGUUGCUAAGGGAGUUUGACACUGCCAUGAUGAGCACUGCAGGAAUUCAGAAUGCACCAGCAUGAAUUGUAGAAUCAUAUACUGGUUUGGGUUGGAGGGGACCUUUGAGAUCAUGUAGUUCCAAUCCUCCUGCUAUAGGCAGGGACACCUCCUCUAGACCAAGUUGCUCAAAGCCCCAUCCAGCCUGGCCUUGAAUGCUUCCGGGGAGGGGGCAUCCACAGCCUCGCUGGGCAACCUGUUCCAGUGUCUCACUACCCUCACAAUAAAGAAUUUCUUUCUGAUAUCUAGUCUAGAUCUACCCUCUUCUGCUUUAAAGCCAUUUCCCCUCGUGCUUUUGAAGGAGAAGCAUUUUUAUGGGUAACCACACACUUUACUUUAGGAAGUAUUUACACAGCUGUGACCUUUUUGAACGAUAAGCUCCCCUGGUGUUUGGGAGCAGUGUCAUCUUCAAAUGGCAUGGCUAGACCUAGAGGUUGCCUGCUUGAGGGCCCUGCCCACCCGUGAUCUUCUCCCCCUCUCCCUCUACCUCUUAAGUUCUUUACAAGGAGAGUGGUGAGGUGCUGGAACGGGCUGCCCAGAGAGGCUGUGGAUGCCCCGUCCCUGGAGGUGUUCAAGGCCACGUUGGAUGGGGCCCUGGGCAACCUGGUCUAGUAAAUGGGGAGGUUGGUGGCCCUGCUAGCAGGGGGGUUGGAGAUUCAUGAUCCUUGAGGUCCCUUCCAACCCAGGCCAUUCUGUGAUUCUGUGAUUCUGUGUGAUUCUGUGAUACCUGGAGUAUCCCACCCCCCUAUGCCCCUGUCUCACCCCAGCUCCUCUCCUUGUCCCGGCCACUCCCAGCCCUCACUGCUUACCACCUCCCUUCCUCUUCUACAGAUCCACUGCUGAAAAAGAGACAUAAAUCCAAAAACAUCACUGGUGCCUCAUGUGCAAACACUUUAACAUUAAGCUGACACAGUCCUGUUGUUCA